ACACAAACUGCGAAACAGCCAAUACAUCUCAUAUUACCAAAAUCCAAAAAAAAAAACAGACAAAGAAAUAUAUUUGUGGAGCAAAGUCCAAAUCUGUUGUAAAAGUUGUGCAAUAACCAAAUCUCAUCUUCUUUCCCACCACCGUCUUUUCUCUUUCCCCUCUUUCUCUCUCCUCCCCUCUUCAUUCCAUGGCCGACGACACCAUUUCACCGCCGCCGUCGUCUCCACCACCGUCGGCGGCGGUUCAGUACUGGUGCUACCGCUGCGACAAGCGCGUCUCCGUCGAAUUUGAACCUGGUCAACCCGACCACGUCAUCUGCACCGACUGCAAGUUCGGCUUCGUCGAGUCAAUCCCUGCCACGUCAUCAUCACCUUCUCCUCCGCCGGAAAACAUUGAAAUCUCCGACGAGCCUUCCUUAGGCAGCCAGUUCUUAAUGGUUCUCCGCCUCCUUGCUCAAGUGGCGCGUGAAGAAGACGCGCCACCGCCUCCACCACCACCUCCUCCUCCUCGCCCUCUCAACUCCGCCGAUCCUUCUCCGUCCGAUGAAUCCGACUUCCUCCGCAUCGAAAUCGACGGCUGGGAUGAAGACGACGACGACGGAACCAAUCGCAAUAAUGACGAGGACGAUAACGGUAACGGUAACGGUAAUAAUGAGGAUUCCGAUGAUGAUGAUGAUGUCAGGAGUGUUGAGAUCGAAGGACAGUCUGAUGAAGAUGACGAUGAUGAUGAUGAGGAGGAGAGAGAAGAGGAUAUUCGGCGGCGUCGGAGAGACAUUCUUCGUCUUCGUCUCCGAGAUUUCGCAAACCGAGCACGAAGCGAAGGAAGAAACAGGAUCUUAGAUUGGGCAGAGAUUCUCAUGGGAUUAGAGGACAAUUCUAUCGAAUUUCGCUUCGAGUUGCCGGAAACUACUGAUCGGUAUAUCGGAAAUCCAGGUGAUUAUGUCGAUGCGGCCGAGUACGAGGCGUUGUUGCAAAACUUGGCGGAUGCAGAGGGGAGGAGAGGUGCGCCUCCUGCAGCGAAAUUUGCUGUGGAGAGUUUGAAGGUAGUGGAGAUCAAGACAGUGGAUGAGAGUUAUGUGUGUGCUAUAUGUAAAGAUGGAGUUAAUGUUGGGGAGUUUGUUAAGGAGAUGCCUUGUGGACAUGGCUAUCAUGGUGAUUGCAUUGUGCCGUGGCUUGCAUCCAGGAAUUCGUGUCCGGUGUGUCGAUUCGAGUUGCCAACUGAUGAUACUGAGUAUGAGGAGGAGAAGAAGAAAAGAUGUCCUGGUAGUUCAUCAGGGUCUUCUGGUGGAACUACUUCAGUAUGAAUAAGAGGAAACAUAUGAGAAAAGAAAGAUUGAGUUUAUACAUAGAUGUAUUGAGUCGGUGAGUUAAUCAACAACAGCUUAAUAGGAGGUGAACAUAAUACAGCAAACACCUUUCCAUAUCGGGUUUCUUCUCUCGACUGGUCCAAGGCUUACUAUGGCAAGAUGCGUAUAAGCUUCAAUGUAAGAGGUUGUUGGGAGUGUAGUACUACAGAUCUGGAGAAUUGUUGCUUGUGCAUUACUAGCUAUUCUGCAGCACCCAGAUCUUGACAUUAUCAAGUGCAAGUAUGGCUAAACUCUUUGUUAUCAAACAAGACGGAGCAAUGGGGUGUGGAAGUGCAAUUACCAAAGUUUUUUACUAUUUCUUGUUUGAUAACAUACUUGUUUACAUCAUGCAAUUGCAUUGUGCGUCGCGGCGAACUCCGAUUUGAUACUUGAGACUUGAGAUUGGAGUACAACGGUCCAAUCGAGGGUGCUUUUGGUUACAUGUAAAUUGGGAAACUCUUUUGUUAAUUGAUUCACCUACACUCUGCAUUUUUUCUUUAUGAUGACAUUUUUCACCUACAUCUAAUAGAAAAUCUGUCCCGGAAUGGAAAUGAAACAGAUUUGGAAUUAGGGAUUAUUUAUCA